rnacentral:lncRNA from 1 species
GCUUGUUUGUGCAAAUAGCCUGGGAUCAGGCUGUGAUUCCUGGAGCCUUUUUCUCCUUGCGGAGGUGGGGGGACGAGAGCGAACUCUGUGACAUCUCGGGGAGGCAGCAGGUUCCUGUGGCCCCUAUGCCGGGGGGAAGGACCGAGAGGCAGCAGGGAGAGGAUGUGAAGCAGGACCUGGCGAAGAAAGGGGGGGGCCCUACCGAUCCCCCCCACUCAAGAGGCUCAGAUGUGUGAAACAAAUCCCAAACCCUCUGUUAUGAAUUUUUUUUUUGGCACGCGCAGGAGGAAGUGAUGGAGUUGCUCCUUUCUGGAGAGCGGCUGCCAACCCCGAUGCAGCCCCCUGCGGCCCCCCAGCCCCUUUGCCAGCGUUUGUUCCUAGCAGAAGGGCUGUUUGUGUGUUGUGUGGGCUCCUGUUUUUUGUUUUAAGUGUGGCUACAAUCAUCUGCUGAGAGGCUCACUACUCCGGCUCGUUCCCUGCCAAUUUCCCUGAGAGCUGGCACUACAGGCGCUCCGGAGGCAACGAAGAGAGGCUGGGGAGGAUAGAUCGUGAAGGGAAAAAAAUGGACACAUGCCAUCGACGGAGCGGCGAGGUGCCAGAAUGCCAGCAGGCAGCAUGGGGCCAAAAAAAAAAAAAAAACGCCACACGGAGCGGAAAAGAAGCUGGCAGCCCCUCUCGAAGCAGGCGCUGGCUGAGUUGGCAGAGGUGCCAUGGAGGACGGGCUGCAGAGAGCAGGCAAUGCGGGAGAGAGAGAGAAAAACAGACAGACAAAUUGGCAGAGGCAGGACAGGUAGCAGACGGCGAAUGGGGAGAGGAAAAAGAUGCAGCCCGCAGCCUGGCCCCAAAGGGAUCCCUGUUCAUCGCUGGCUCUCACUGGGUCCAUCACACUGAGGAUUCCAUUUCUCCCGCCGAGAGAGUACAGCGCUCUGCUUGUAGGAUAGCCACGCAGCAGUCCGGUGGGAGCCUCCGCCCUCCUCCCCGUGCGCCCACUCCCACUGCGCACACUGAACUGCAUCAGCAUCCGCUGGCGUUGGGAGCUCGCAAACACUGCCCUGGAGAGGCCAGGCCAGGCGCCGUCCCCUCCUCGUAGGGAUAUUCCUGGAUUUCGGCUCUCCCACUGGGAGGUGUAGGAGGAACCUCCGAGGCCCCGGCAGAGGAUGUCUUACAACAGCCAGUCGGCAGUGCGCAGUGUCUCUCUCCGCACAUCGCCAGCUGGGUGCAACGGUGCACACGUGGUGAGCACACGGCACCGGGCCAGGGAGUUAGCAGUGUGCUGGGAGAAGGGCGGGUUAUGGCUUGCAGGGAUACACCCAUCGUUGCUCAGCUAUUGCCCGGGACACUUCAGACAGCCUGCUGGGAUGUGGGAAUGAGCAUGAAGGCCUCCUGGAAUUUCACAAACGGCUCCUUUGGCAGCGGGUCAUGGCUCAGGCCGGCACAGGCAACUGGUGAGAAUAAGUCAGGGCGCAUCCAGGGAAGGGGAAAGCAACGGUGAUUCGUUAUUUAUACGGCACCAUACGUAUACACGGAGCUUUACAAAACCCCGACACCACAAGGGCCUGCCCGCAAGGCACUCACAGUCGGACUGACAGCACGCCGGGCGGGGAUGGCCAGCCAUGAGGAGAAGUGGGCUCACAGCUGGGAUCUGAAAGGAGGGUCACAGAACCCGGGACGAUCACCAUCCUUUGUUAUUUGCAUCUCAGUAAUGUCUGGAGACCCCAAACUGAGAUUGUGGCCCCAUCGUGCUAGGGGCUGCACAGCAAGUCUCAGUUCCAGUCCCGGUCUCUAAGAGCUUACAUAAGACAGAUAAAGGAGAGGGGACACUGAGGCACAGAGCACCCUAGGUGACACAGCAGGCCAGUGGCAGAGAACCCACAUCUCCUGAGCCCCAGUCCAGAGCCCUAUCCACUAGACCACGCUGCCUCCCACAGACUCAACUCCGAUUCCUGAGCCAUGCAUACAAAGAGCUGCUCCCACCUCCACCCCAUGUUGCCAGAUCCAAUUCCACCG